CCACAUCAGCGUCGUCUUCAAGUUCUAGCCCAAACAGAAACGCACGCACGCACGUAUUAUGUUGGCUGUUACUAACAUUUCAUCUCCAAUUGAUUUCCGGCGAUUUAAGCCAAGCCACCAUUUGACGCACCGUUUCUUCCUACUUAAGCUACAUUCUCUCCUCUUCAUUUCCCCUCACUCACCACAGACCGAGAGCCUCCAGGCUGCUCGAAUUUGAGCUCGAAAUUCCGCGGUACCAGCGAGUUUCCGGGACGAUUCCGCGACGGCGCCGUCUUCAUCUGUGAGCGCCGUCAGCCCUGAGUAGACGCAGACGCGGACGAGGAACACACCCACCUCUGCGAACACCGUCCGCUACUUCCCGCGCCGCGAAGACCUCUAGAGCAGCGACCUCGCCGACCACCGCAGCCUCAGCUUCGUCCACACCCUCGAUCGUACGGAGUGCAACGGGUGUGAUUGUGAGAAGUGUAUGAUCAUCAACUACCAAAAGGCAAGUGUCACUCAUGUCCUAAUAUUUUCUAUGCAUGUAGUUUUUACUUAGUAGAUAUUGUAUGUGUAGGAUGUUUUCAAAGUAUAUGCUAUGCUAUGCUAAUCCUAUAGUCUUAGGAUUUCCUUUAGUUUCCCUUAAGUUGCCAUCGUAGGUAGUUAUGAUUAGCCAUGCCAUUAGAUACGUGGUUGGGAUAUCAUGAUGAGAUGAGAUGAAGAAAUAUGUUUUUGUUAUAAAUGAAAACAACUUGAUAAAUGAAACACCUGGGCGGAUUGGUAUGAGUGGAGCGUCUGCACGGUGAAAAUUGGUGGGGUCCGCCGCCCAGGAACAAAAGAGAUUGGACAGGUUUCAUGUUUAGUAGCUUCUUGUACAGCCGCAUGUCAUAUGGGCUCUGUCUUGACUAAGUAGGUGGUAGGGACCUGUCCCGACGUGACCAGCAGAUGUAGAUGUGUAGGUUGGUACGGGUCCGUCCUGAGGGCUCAGGGCCUUACUUCCGAAAAUAGUCUCGUCUUAGUCUUCUCCCAACCAUUUGAGCAAAAUGAGCAUCAUGGUGGAAAAGGGGCUGACUAAGUCGUGCGGGUAAAGUGUACAAACCUCUGCAGAGUGUUAAAAAAACUAAGUACUUAGCCGUGUCCCCGGUUACGGACAACUUUGAGCAAUUGGACCUGGAGCUGUUGGAAGAUCUCUCUCAUCCCAAUUUCAUAAUAAAACUUGAUGGGUAAACUUGGGUAGCAUUAAGCUGGACUCUAGUGUCUAUCCCUGGUGAGCCAGCGUGAUGAGAACUUGGGUUCAUGCUUUUAGGGUUAUAUUUUCAAAAACAAAUGAUGUUUACAAAAGAUAGGGAAAAUGCCCGCUUUUAUGCAAAGAGCCUAAACUCCACCAGCCAAAUAUACAUGUAGGUAUUAGGCGCCAUUUGUGUCCACUAAAUAGUGACAUCUUGCCAAUACAUUCAAAGUAUUGACCAAAUGUUUUUGGCUGUAACUUUACCUGUUGCAGAUAUUUUGAUAGACGAGUGAGUUACGAUGAGUACGGUUACGAGUCUAUCCUCAACAUGCUCGCCUGUGGCACAUGAAGAUGAAGGACUCCAUGCUAUAUGUUUGUUCGUUGUAAAACUCUGAUGUAAUGCUAGCCUUGUGCUAUGCAAUUUGUAAGUCAUUAUGUAUAUAUGGAUCAUGCGAUGUAAUAAAGACCUUUGUUUCUU